rnacentral:rRNA from 1 species
CGGCAGGCUUAACACAUGCAAGUCGAGGGGUAACAGGAGUAGCUUGCUACUUGCUGACGACCGGCGCACGGGUGCGUAACGCGUAUAGAAUCUACCUUGUACUAGGGGAUAGCCUUUGGAAACGAAGAUUAAUACCCUAUAGUAAGUAUUUAUGGCAUCAUUUAUACUUUAAAGGUUACGGUACAAGAUGACUAUGCGUCCUAUUAGUUUGUUGGUAAGGUAACGGCUUACCAAGACUUCGAUAGGUAGGGGCCCUGAGAGGGGGAUCCCCCACACUGGUACUGAGACACGGACCAGACUCCUACGGGAGGCAGCAGUGAGGAAUAUUGGACAAUGGAGGCAACUCUGAUCCAGCCAUGCCGCGUGCAGGAUGACGGCCCUAUGGGUUGUAAACUGCUUUUAUGUAGGAAGAAACACUCUCACGUGUGAGAGCUUGACGGUACUACAAGAAUAAGGACCGG